rnacentral:rRNA from 1 species
UGAACGCUAGCGGCAGGCCUAACACAUGCAAGUCGAACGGAAACAUGUCUAGCUUGCUAGAUGAUGUCGAGUGGCGGACGGGUGAGUAAUGCCUGGGAAUUUGCCUUUGUGUGGGGGAUAACUAUUGGAAACGAUAGCUAAUACCGCAUGAUACCUACGGGUCAAAGGGGGCUUCGGCUCCCGCGCAAAGAGAAGCCCAGGUGAGAUUAGCUAGUUGGUGAGGUAAAGGCUCACCAAGGCGACGA